rnacentral:rRNA from 1 species
GGGUCCCUACGGGGCGCAGCAGUGAGGAAUAUUGGUCAAUGGGCUUACGCCUGAACCAGCCAAGUCGCGUGAGGGAAGACUGCCCUAUGGGUUGUAAACCUCUUUUGUCAGGGAGCAACGCCGGCUACGUGUAGCCGGACUGAGAGUACCUGAAGAAAAAGCAUCGGCUAACUCCGUGCCAGCAGCCGCGGUAAUACGGAGGAUGCGAGCGUUAUCCGGAUUUACUGGGCGUAAAGGGUGCGUAGGCGGUCUUUCAAGUCAGGAGUGAAAGGCUACGGCUCAACCGUAGUAAGCUCUUGAAACUG